rnacentral:rRNA from 1 species
CGGCGUGCUUAACACAUGCAAGUCGAACGGACUUUACAUGAAGCCUAGCGAUUGUAAAGUUAGUGGCGGACGGGUGAGUAACGCGUGGGUAACCUGCCGUAUGCUGGGGGACAACAGUUGGAAACGACUGCUAAUACCGCAUAAGCGCACAGAACCGCAUGGUUCAGUGUGAAAAAACUCCGGUGGCAUACGAUGGACCCGCGUCUGAUUAGGCAGUUGGCGAGGUAACGGCUCACCAAACCGACGAUCAGUAGCCGGCCUGAGAGGGUGAACGGCCACAUUGGGACUGAGACACGGCCCAAACUCCUACGGGAGGCAGCAGUGGGGAAUAUUGCACAAUGGGGGAAACCCUGAUGCCAGCGACGCCGCGUGAGUGAAGAAGUAUUUCGGUAUGUAAAGCUCUAUCAGCAGGAAAGAAAAUGACGGUACCUGACUAAGAAGCCCCGGCUAACUACGUGCCAGCCGCUGC